rnacentral:rRNA from 1 species
AUUGAACGCUGGCGGCAGGCCUAACACAUGCAAGUCGAACGAGUGGCGGACGGGUGAGUAAUGUCUGGGAAACUGCCUGAUGGAGGGGGAUAACUACUGGAAACGGUAGCCAAUACCGCAUACCAUCAGAUGUGCCCAGAUGGGAUUAGCUAGUAGGUGGGGGAAUGGCUCACCUAGGCGACGAUCCCUAGCUGGUCUGAGAGGAUGACCAGCCACACUGGAACUGAGACACGGUCCAGACUCCUACGGAGGGCAGCAGUGGGGAAUAUUGCACAAUGGGCGCAAGCCUGCUGCAGCCAUGCCGCGUGUGUGAAGAAGGCCUUCGGGUUGUAAAGCACGUUCAGCGGGGAGGCGUUACUCGCAGAAGAAGCAACGGCUAACUCCGUGCCAGCAGCCGCGGUAAUAC